rnacentral:rRNA from 1 species
GACGAACGCUGGCGGCGUGCUUAACACAUGCAAGUCGAACGGAAAGGCCCUGCUUUUGUGUGGUGCUCGCGUGGCGCACGUGUGAGUAACCCGUGAGUAACCUGCCCUUUACUUUGGGAUAACUUCAGGAAACUGCGGCUACUACCGGAUAGCAGCUCCUGCUGCAUGGUGGGGUUUGGACCGUUUAGGCGGUUGGGGAUGUACUCGGGGCUUAUCAGCCUGUUGGUGGGGUAGUGGCUUACCAAGGCUUGGACGGGUAGCCGGCCUGAGAGGGUGACCGGCGACAUGGGGACUGAGAGACGGCGCAGAGUGGUACGGGAGGCAGCAGGGGGGAAUAUUGCACAAUGGGGGGAAGCCUGAUGCAGCAACGCUGCGUGCGGGAUGACGGCCUUCGGGGGGGAAAGCGCUGUAGCCUGUGACGAAGCGUGAGUGACGGUAAUGGGUAAAGAAGCACCGGCUAACUACGUG